rnacentral:lncRNA from 1 species
CGAGACUGUGUGCUGCACUGUUCAAGCCUACUGUGCUGCAAGCAUCACAUGUGCCUAUGCAAAUGUCUGUCUGUGUGGUUUAACUGCUCUGUUGAUGCUGAAGGGGAACGUCCAUGGAGGCAGAUUUCUGCCCAUUGCCACCUGCCCUUUAAGACAUUGUCCGGGCUCUGUCUCUCAGAUGCAUGCAGCAGCUUUUUGUGGUCUGAAUGUUUCCCAAGUUAGUAAACAAUACAACCUUCUUCCAAAUUGUUUCUUUGCAAAGAACAGUUCAAAGAUCUGGGAAAUCCUUCCUCAUGCGAGGAGCAGAAACAUUUUACUGGCUUGUUUCAAGCAAUGUGAAAGCCAGGAGCAGAAUGGAGACAACCUGUUUC